rnacentral:rRNA from 1 species
CAAUAGCGUAUAUUAAAGUUGUUGCAGUUAAAAAGCUCGUAGUUGGAUUUCUGUGAGAGUGCCGGUGUCGGCUGAUGCUUGUACGCAGGCGCUCUUACAUCCUUCUGUUAACUGUUCUUGGCAUUUUAUUGCUGGUUCAGGGCUCAGAUAUUUUACCUUGAGAAAAUUAGAGUGUUUCAGGCAGGCUUAUGCCGGAAUACAUUAGCAUGGAAUAAUGGAACAGGACCUGUGCGUCUCUCGGGGCGCCGGUCUCCGUUGUUGGUUUCGGGGACUAAUGUAAUGAUUAAUAGGGAUAGUUGGGGGCAUUAGUAUUUAAUAGUCAGAGGUGAAAUUCUCGGAUUUGUUAAAGACUAACUUAUGCGAAAGCGUCUGCCAAGGAUGUUUUCAUUGA